GAAUUCGAUUGCGGAUCCGCGGGCCGCUGCAGAACUGGUUGAUCCUGCCGGACCCGACUGCUAUCAGAGUGGGACUAAGCCAUGCGAGUCAACAUAGCAAUAUGUGGCAUACGGCUCAGUAACACGUAGUCAACAUGCCCAGGGGACGUGGAUAACCUCGGGAAACUGAGGAUAAACCGCGAUAAGUCACUACUUCUGGAAUGGGUAAUGACUCAAAUCUACAUGGCCCCUGGAUUGGACUGCGGCCGAUCAGGCUGUUGGUGAGGUAAUGGCCCACCAAACCUGUAACCGGUACGGGCUCUGAGAGGAGGAGCCCGGAGAUGGGCACUGAGACAAGGGCCCAGGCCCUAUGGGGCGCAGCAGGCGCGAAACCUCUGCAAUAGGCGAAAGCCUGACAGGGUUACUCUGAGUGAUUUCCGUUAAGGAGAUCUUUUGGCACCUCUAAAAAUGGUGCAGAAUAAGGGGUGGGCAAGUCUGGUGUCAGCCGCCGCGGUAAUACCAGCACCCCGAGUGGUCGGGACGUUUAUUGGGCCUAAAGCAUCCGUAGCCGGUUCUACAAGUCUUCCGUUAAAUCCACCUGCUUAACAGAUGGGCUGCGGAAGAUACUAUAGAGCUAGGAGGCGGGAGAGGCAAGCGGUACUCGAUGGGUAGGGGUAAAAUCCGUUGAUCCAUUGAAGACCACCAGUGGCGAAGGCGGCUUGCCAGAACGCGCUCGACGGUGAGGGAUGAAAGCUGGGGGAGCAAACCGGAUUAGAUACCCGGGUAGUCCCAGCUGUAAACGAUGCAGACUCGGUGAUGAGUUGGCUUCUUGCCAACUCAGUGCCGCAGGGAAGCCGUUAAGUUUGCCGCCUGGGGAGUACGGUCGCAAGACUGAAACUUAAAGGAAUUGGCGGGGGAGCACCACAAGGGGUGAAGCCUGCGGUUCA
rnacentral:rRNA from 1 species